rnacentral:misc_RNA from 1 species
GGAAAUUUAUUAAUAGGGAAAAAAAAAGGAAUUAAUUAAUAAUGAUUGAUUUUUCGAUUGAUUACCAGAAAAUUAUCUCCUAUGUCAAGCUCCAACAGCGCUUUCAUCAUUCAAUGUGGCUGAGCUGCUGCAUGGAUUUUACCAUCUGAACAUAGCAGCCGACUAUCUGCUGGUCUAACUUGUAGUAAUACUCCAUCCUCUCCAAAGGUUUCAAAUCCAGGUCGAUGAAAUAUGCCUUAUAAUCAAAACUUUGGUUGGUUGAUUCUAAGGAAACCAUGCUAUAUGGAGAUUCCACACUCCCAUCUUCGCGAGGUCUAA